CUUUUAGAUGGAACACAGAAUAUAGCCACACUCUGGGAUAUCUCCCCUGGAUGCCAAGAUCGAUACCAGGUCAAGCCUCUAAACCAGUUUUGGAGCGACAGAACCCACAAAUAUUCGGACUGUAACAAAUUUCCAGCAGAAAAUAUUUUGGAAGUACUUCAUAAAAGGUGAGGAAGAGACAAAACCAAUGGAUCUCCAAUUAAGAAAUAUGAUGAGGAACAUCAUUGCCUUGUGGACAAUGUCAUGUAUAUUUAGUUUAUCUAUAUUUUUCAAAACAAUAAAAAGUCUUCAGGAAAAACCUUUUAUGUGGCAUGUGAAUGGGAUCCUGUCAGUGACUUAUUCAAUGGAAGUGGGUGCUUGUAUUUGUUAUUUGUGGACAAAGCACAGUUGUCCAGGAUUUAUUCCCAAGGAGGAUUGGGUGAAUUGGUUUGCUUGGAUUCUCAUUUUUAUCUUUUUCACACUCAUAAUAAUGUUUAUUUUAAAUUUUUUGUAUGCAUAUCUCUCCUUUUUUUUUACGUUGUUGUUUUCAAUGAAUUUUGUUGAUUUUGACAGCAUCAUCUUUUUGAUACCUGUAUCUAGAAUAUAUUUUUUGUGGAUUCUUCACAAUUUUCUUUGAAAAAUAUGCUCUGCUAAAUUAGGCAUGGACCCACACUUAACACCAUAUACCAAGAUAAGAUCAAAAUGGGUCUAUGACCUAGGCAUAAAGAACGAGAUUAUAAAUAAAUUAGAGGAACAUAGAAUAGUUUAUCUCUCAGACUUGUGGAGGAGAAAGAAAUUUGUGACCAAAGAUGAACUAGAGACCAUUACUGAUCACAAAAUAGAAAAUUUUGAUUACAUCAAAUUAAAAAGCCUUUGUACAAAUAAAACUAAUGCAAACAAGAUUAGAAGGGAAGCAACAAACUGGGAAAACAUUUUCACAGUUAAAGGUUCUGAUAAAGGCCUCAUUUCCAAAAUAUAUAGAGAACUGACUCAAAUUUAUAGGAAAUCAAGCCAUUCUCCAAUUGAUAAAUGGUCAAAGGAUAUGAACAGACAAUUUUCAGAGGAUGAAAUUGAAACUAUUACCACUCAUAUGAAAGAGUGUUCCAAAUCAUUAUUGAUCAGAGAAAUGCAAAUUAAGACAACUCUGAGAUACCACUACACACCUGUCAGAUUGGCUAAGAUGACAGGAAAAAAUAAUGAUGAAUGUUGGAGGGGAUGCGGGAAAACUGGGACACUAAUGCAUUGUUGGUGGAGUUGUGAACGAAUCCAACCAUUCUGGAGAGCAAUCUAGAAUUAUGCCCAAAAAAUUAUCAAAUUGUGCAUACCCUUUGAUCCAGCAGUGUUUCUAUUGGGCUUAUAUCCCAAAGAAAUACUAAAGAAAGGAAAGGGACCUGUAUGUGCCAAAAUGUUUGUAGCAGCCCUGUUUGUAGUGGCUAGAAACUGGAAAAUGAAUGGAUGCCCAUCAAUUGGAGAAUGGCUGGGUAAAUUGUGGUAUAUGAAUGUUAUGGAAUAUUAUUGUUCUGUAAGAAAUGACCAGCAGGAUGAAUACAGAGAGGACUGGCGAGACUUACAUGAACUGAUGCUAAGUGAAAUGAGCAGAACCAGGAGAUCAUUAUACACUUUGACAACGAUAUUGUAUGAGGACAUAUUUUGAUGGAAGUGGAUUUCUUUGACAAAGAGACCUGAGUUUCAAUUGAUAAAUGACGGACAAAAGCAACUACACCCAAAGAAAGAACACUGGGAAACGAAUGUGAACUAUCUGCAUUUUUGUUUUUCUUCCCGGGUUAUUUAUACCUUCUGAAUCCAAUUCUCCCUAUGCAACAAGAGAACUGUUCGGUUCUGCAAACAUAUAUUGUAUCUAGGAUAUACUGCAACAUAUCCAACAUAUAAAGGACUGCUUGCCAUCUAGGGGAGGGGGUGGAGGGAGGGAGGGAAAAAAAAAUCGGAACAGAAACGAGUGUCAAUAUAAAGUAAUUAUUAAAUAAAAAUUUAAAAAAAAGAAAAAGAAAAAUAUGCUCUGCUUCUGGGAAAUAAGGGUCCCUGUCCCAACCUUCCUGUGCAUCACUGAACCUUGGCUUUGACCCAGAGGCUCCUUGUGUUUGCAGGGGGAAGCUUUGAUUACUCUGUUCAGGAAACAACCUGUUUCCCAGAGUUUGCCUUCUGAGCUGGGACUGGAAGCUGACCCACUGAUUUGCUUUUAUACUGAGCCAGGACUGAGGGUCUUCAUUGUGAGUUGCUUUAAGACCUCCUUACCAGACUUUCCCACAGUCUCUCUGAGCUGGCCUGAAUACACUUUUUGCCCCAAUGAGACUGACUUUUCUUGAACUUUUAUGAGUCCAUGUUGAGCUGGAAAGUAGGUUCAUUCUAUUAGACUCUAUGGUUUCAUGCAAUUUUCCAGGCAAACUGGGAGACCUGGAGUAGCUCCCUGACUUUACUAUCUUGGCUCUACCCCCAGAAUUUUUUUUCCUAUUCUUAUUUAAAGGUUUGAGUUCCAAAUUCUGUCCCUUUCUUCCUUCUCUCCCCUCCCCAAGAUUGUAAGCAGUCAGAUAUGGGUUAUACAUGUGCAACUAUGUAAGACA